UUUCCAGACUCCUACGGGAGGCAGCAGUGGGGAAUAUUGGGCAAUGGACGCAAGUCUGACCCAGCAACGCCGCGUGAAGGAAGAAGGCUUUCGGGUUGUAAACUUCUUUUAAGGGGGAAGAGCAGAAGACGGUACCCCUUGAAUAAGCCACGGCUAACUACGUGCCAGCAGCCGCGGUAAUACGUAGGUGGCAAGCGUUAUCCGGAUUUACUGGGUGUAAAGGGCGUGUAGGCGGGAAAGCAAGUCAGAUGUGAAAACCAUGGGCUCAACCUGUGGCCUGCAUUUGAAACUGUUUUUCUUGAGUACUGGAGAGGCAGACGGAAUUCCUAGUGUAGCGGUGAAAUGCGUAGAUAUUAGGAGGAACACCAGUGGCGAAGGCGGUCUGCUGGACAGCAACUGACGCUGAGGCGCGAAAGCGUGGGGAGCAAACAGGAUUAGAUACCCCUGUAC
rnacentral:rRNA from 1 species